AGCUUUGUACAGUGGUAGCAUCAUAGCCAAUGAGGUUUAUCUGGGGUGUGAUUAGUGUUAAUUGAAAACUAUAAAAACGAAAACAAUACCAUGAUAAGAUGCCCUUUUUUCUUUCUUUUUUUUUUUUUUAAGAAAA
rnacentral:snRNA from 1 species